rnacentral:rRNA from 1 species
GAUGAACGCUGGCGGCGUGCCUAAUACAUGCAAGUCGAACGGAAAGGCGAUGAUUUUGCUGCUUGGUCGUGUGGGGAACGCGUGAGUAACACGUGUGUAAACCGUACCUGACUUUGGGAUAACACUAGGAGACAGCGGCUAUUAUCGGAUAGGAGCUCCUGCUGCAUGGGGGUGGAUGGAAAGAUUCGGCGGUGGGGGCUGGAAUAGCGGCUUAUCCGCUGGCUAGGGGAGUAGGGACUGUCCAAGCCUUUGAAGGGUAGCCGGCCUGAGAGGGUGACCGGCGACAUUGGUACUGAGAUACGGCCCAGACUCCUACGGGACGCAGCAGUGGGGAAUAUUGCAGAAUGAGCGGACGCCUGAUGCAGCAACGCCGCGUGCGGGAUGACGGCCUUCGGGUUGUAAACCGAUUUCGCCUGUGACGAAGCGUGAGUGACGGUAAUGGGUAAAGAAGCACCGGCUAACUACGUG